AUGGCCGAGCUCGCGGCUGGCGCCGUGCGCUCCCUGUUGGUCGUCAUACGCAGCGAAGCACGGCUGCUGCGUGGCGUCGGGAACGACAUGCAGUUCAUCAAGGAGGAGAUGGAGAGCAUGAAGAGCUUCCUGGAGCACCUGGCCAGGUGGGCACCUCCCGGCGGCGGCGAGCACAACGAGCAGGUGUGCAGCUGGAUGAACCAGGUGCGGCUGCUCGCCCAGGACUGCAGCAACUGCAUCGACGUCUACCUCAGCAGGGGGAACCCCGACGUCCACCGGGCCAGAGAGGGACUCGCAGGCUGCAUCUGGUGGGCGAGCUGGUUAGUUCAUAAGUUGGUCGCGCAGCACCACACAGCCGAGCAGCUGCGCCUGCUCAAGGAACGGGCGCGUGAAAUCGGCGCGCGGCGGUUGAGGUAUGGCGUGGAGGUCCUGGACAAUUCAGGGAAGGGGCUAUGGCCUCCGACGGCAACGUCGUCGUCGUCGUUGCGGGCUGCUGCAGAAGGUGGCUAUGCUACUACAGACGAAAACGAAGACAACAAAGAAGAAGACGGUGACGGUCAACUGGUGAGGACAAUGGCGACUGGCGGCCAUUCUGGUCCAAGAGCCUACAACGAGCCUCGCACUCUGGACGACUACGUCAAGGGAAAGCUAUGGGAGUGGGCAGAUGGAGUUCCUGCAAACGCCGGUAAAACUUUGUCCAUGGUCGUGGUGGCAGUGGCACCCUACACAUAUCAGGACCUCCUCGCUCUUGUACAAAAAAAUUGGCUUUUGAAUCAAAACCCAAAGGGUGGCUACCAUCGCAUUGUCGUGGUUGACAUCCCGGCUGUGCACCACAAUUCUAAGAUGCUACGAGUCAAGGAGGUUCUCUUCUACAUUCUGCGCGAGCUCAAGCAUGCCCAAUCCAACCCCCAGGAGCAAGGAACACAAGGCCAAGUGGAGGAAAACUAUCUUGACCCUUGGGAACUUUACAUAAGAAGAUUGAAAAUUGAUGAAGAAAAGAAGAGGGCUAUUGCUCUUCUUCAAAUCAAGGAGAAUAUCAAAGAAAUGAAGUUGGACCUAGACGUACUACUUCAGCUGCUGCUCCAAGCAGCGUCCCAACAGGAUGAAAAAGGGAAGAACAAAGACAUGCAUAGAUUAUUAGCCUGGGAUAAAAACAACAUCAUCGUCAAGAAGCUUAAGGAGCAUAUGGAAGCAGAGGAAAAGGAGAAGCUUGAAGAGGAAACAACAGCCAAGCAUAUGGGGGUGGAAGGAGAAGCCACGGCCAAGCAUAUGGAGGAAGCAGGAGAAGUAACAUGCAAACAUAUGAAGGAGGGGGAAGGAGAAGUAACCAUACAUGGGGAGGAAGAGGAAGAAGCAGGCGGGGGAGGAGGAGAAACAACCAAGCAUAUGGAGGAGGAAGGAGGCGGAGAAAUCAAAAGUCAGCAGACGACAUGGAUUGAACUCGAUGAGGCACAAUAUGUGCACAUCCUGCAGAAGCUGUUUCCCAAGAGAAGCAGCAACAAGCCCCUGCAGGCCCAAGACAGAUCCUUGGACAAGCAAGCUACAAAGACCACAACGGCUACAUUGGGUGAGCAUCAAAUCAAAAAACUGAUCCAUGACGCAAAGGAAGACAUCUUACGGGAGCUACAGCAAGACAAAUAUGACAAGAAUGAACCUGGUGCUCCAGAUCAAAACCCAGAAACUGUUUCUGAAAAAACAUUUACCUGUUUCGUGGAUCAUAUGAUGCACAAAAUGAAGCCCGAGUUCGAAGAGCAGCUCAAGAUCAAAGGUCUCGUAGACGAGAUUAAACACAACUUGAAUUAUCUUCCGGACCUGGAUAAUUAUGAACGUCCCCUGUUUAUCCUCAAAGUUGAUGAGUUGAUGGAUGUUUCCACAUGGGAGGAUACCAGAAAUGCUUUAAGCUUGUUAAACUGCAGAGCUGAUUUGAUGAUCGUCACCGCCACAAAGGACAUACAGCUGGCUAAACAAUAUUGCUAUCCACAGCGGGAACCUAUAGACUAUUCUCUUGCUGGCCCCUACCAUGAUGCAUUGCUUGAGCUUACUGGCCAGCAGAAGAAUGGAGACAGCUACGACCCCCAAAUUUUCCAUGAUAUCCUGUACGAGUGUGAGCCACAUGAAUUAUGCAUGAAGAUCUUCAUUCAUGCUUUGUAUGCUAAUCCCAAGAGGAGAGAUGAGGAAUUAGUCAAGCUGCACAGCACCCUCCGGGCUUUGCCAACAACAUCAUUCAACAACAUCGCUAAGGUGAUGUUCAAGUUCUCUUACAAAGAUCUGCCUAAAGAAUACAAGUCAUGCUUGCUGUACCUAGCAAUCUUCCCGCCCAGACACAAGAUCAGGCAGUCAACCUUGAUUACACGGUGGGUUGUAGAAGGGCUGAUAUCCAAGGAAGAUUGGCCCAGUUCUGUGCGUCAGGCCAACCGAUGUUUUGAUGCACUCGUCGGCCGGUGCCUUGUUUAUCCUGCUGAUAUUGAUACCACGGGAAAUGUAAAGAGUUGCGUCGUAGGUGAUCCAGUUCAUGGAUUCAUUACCACAAUCGCCAAGAAACAACACAUCGUGGAGACAGGCCUGUCACAUCACUUGGCUCGCCACUUUUCCAUUUUCAACAAUCUCCAACUCCGCAGCUAUGAUGGAAUUGAUAAAUAUUUCCAGCAGCUCUCUUCAUCUAAAGUAUCCCUACUCAAAGUGCUAGAUCUAGAAGGAUGCCGAUGCUUUAUUGGGAAGAACCAGCGGUACCUCAAGGACAUCUGCUACAAGAUGUUACUGCUCAAGUAUCUGAGCCUGAGGAGAACAGAUAUUAGAAAGCUACCCAUUGAAAUCUGCAACCUCCGUGAGCUAGAGGUACUGGAUAUCCGAGAAACUAUGGUGCCUCCAUAUGCAACAGCAUCUAUCCUGCUACUGAAGCUGAAGCGUCUGCUUGCCAGUGAUCCAAGAAAUUUUGGAUCUACUCCCUGGAUUCCUCAUAGGAUCGGCAAAAUGGUAAACAUUGAGGUAUUAUUCAAUGUCAAGGCACAUCAGAGUCAUGAUUUAAAAGAUAUUGGAAAGCUACGGCAGCUGAGGAAGCUAGGAGUGGUCAUCGAUGAUAAGGAUAGUCACCUCAAGAAUUUGCUUGAGACGAUCAGUGACCUACAUGAGUGCCUCCGUUCUCUGUCAAUCACUGCUAUUCCUAUAGCCACACCAUGGGAAUGGGAGGGUACUCCUUACAGUGCAGAGUUACCAGAUGGCAUAGGCUCUCUCUUAGAAAACCAUCCCAAGAUUCUUGAGAGUCUAAGCAUCAGGGGAACCACACAGAAGGGGCGUCUUCUUCCAUUGUUCAUAAAAGGUGAUAAAAACGAACUUGCCAAGGUAACCCUAUGUCACACUCUGCUGAGCCAAGAUGAUCUGAAAGUCCUUGCCAAGCUGCCCAAGUUACGGUGCAUAAGGCUCCAACACAUUGCAUGCACCGAGUCUAUGUUGAACUUCAAGAAGGAUGAAUUCAGAUGCCUCAAGUACCUUCUUGUUGAGGGCUCGGCCUUGACUAAUAUCACUUUUGAGCAUGGAGCAGCCAAAGAGCUCGAGAAGAUGGUUUUGUCUUUCACCGGCAUAGGUUCUAUUUCUGGAGUUGACUUUCUUCCAAAAUUUAAAGAGCUCGAGAUGAACAACAGCUUCUGUGGCAGUUUGUUAUCAUCAUUUGACAAUGCCAAACAGAUAGCCAAGCUGACUCUUUGUGGUACAUUGCUAGAGCAAGAUGCUCUACAACUGCUCACCAAGAAACCAAAUAUACGCUGUCUUGUGCUCUUGGACGAGUCUUUUGGUGGAACACAGAAUGAGAUUACAUUAGAAAAAGAUGAGUUCUUAUGGCUCAACCUCCUUGUUGUUGACUGCUCGGCCAUCACCAAAAUUGUCUUCAACAGCGGGUCUGCUCCUAGGCUCGAGAAGAUUGUCUGGUCAUCUUCCACAUCUCUCUCUGGCAUCGACAAACCUCCAAGAUUGAAGGAGCUCGAGUUCAAUGGUGACCAAGUCCCUGAUGAGGUGAUGGAGGCCAUUAAAAACCACAAAAACAAUCCUAGUCUUAAACUCAAUGGACCAGAAACUCAAGACUAA
rnacentral:rRNA from 1 species